UACGAAGGGGGCUAGCGUUGCUCGGAAUCACUGGGCGUAAAGGGUGCGUAGGCGGGUUUUUAAGUCAGGGGUGAAAUCCUGGAGCUCAACUCCAGAACUGCCUUUGAUACUGAAGAUCUUGAGUUCGGGAGAGGUGAGUGGAACUGCGAGUGUAGAGGUGAAAUUCGUAGAUAUUCGCAAGAACACCAGUGGCGAAGGCGGCUCACUGGCCCGAUACUGACGCUGAGGCACGAAGGCGUGGGGAGCGAACGGG
rnacentral:rRNA from 1 species